GUUCUGGAUUACUGAAACUUUGGUCUGAUGAUAGAAGUUGGGAAGUAUUUAUGAAUCCUGUGCCACUUUUAUAUCAUUAUUCAGAUAUGAAGAAAGGGAAAAAGUAAAUACAAGGGAAGAGACUUUGAUGUAACACAGUGUUUGGAAUGCUUAAGGUAGUCUAGGCAGAGAUGGAUGAAUGAGGCAAGCAAAGGUGGAUGAUAAAUGCAAUUUAUUUCCUUACCACAUAUAUGGUACAUACUUCUUUAAGAUCAGUCUGGCAGUGCCCCAGGAUGCAUAACUGCAUAGCCUGCCCUUUAUGAAGAGUGCCCUUACUGUCAGGAAUGCAACUGGCUAUGGAAGUUCUAUAUUGGUUCUUCUAGGAUCUGCAG